rnacentral:lncRNA from 1 species
UGAUAAUCGUCACUCUCCUAGAAAAAUCAAACCGCCUCCCCGGCUCCUCCCCUCCAAAAAAAAUAAGUUAGGUCACGUACUCCUGGAGUCCUGGUUGGUCAUAAAGGUUAGGUGUUGAUAAUUUGCAUACUUUUCGUGAUCUAAUAAUCUGAUGGAGGGAAUAUGUAUUGUGUAUUUAUGUAGUGAAGUCGCAACAGCUAACAAAUCGUCUUCACGCCGCGUCGCCGCUAAUCAAUUAAGGUAACUAGGUAAGGAAAUAAACAAACCUUCAAAUCAAAUGUUCUACGCUUAGCUGUCCAUAUCUAAUGGUCAUUCUUUCCCUUGGAAAAGAACCGGGAAAACCCCCGUCCAUGAUUUGACGACGGAGAAGACUUUGGAGGUCGUGACUUUUGAGAUUUAGGGGUGGUUGGUGAUUUUGGAAUUGGGACUGAUUCAGUGUCGGAUGGAAUGUAAUGAUCAUAUGCCUCAAAAUGAGAUUGGUCUCCAACUCUUUGGAUGCCAGAAAUAUUACUAGUUUCUGCCCAUUCUUUCGACAGGUGAAGAUUUGAGUCACUUGUGCUGAGGACAUCUUCAGAGAAAUCUUUAUUUACAUGAAAUGGUCUAUUUGGAGUAGCGGGGACAGUGUUGGGUCGGGAAUGCAAGGAUUUAAAUUGUUUGCCAAGUAGAAAUAUUGUUUCCUGGCACUCGGCAAGUUUCUCUGCAGCAGCUGUUAUCUCCAUCUCCUGUUAGAGAAAUUAUGUUUAGAUAUUGUUUUGGCAUUGAGAAAUAUAAUCUUUUUUUAAUUAUACUUAACUAAUAAGUACUAAUUUCAAUAAGAAGACAGGAUCAAUGUAUAAAAGAGAAAACAAAUUGGUCGAGUGAUAAGUGAUAAUAACUAAUUGAAAUUAAAAUACCAACAAACCUGUUUUAUCUUCGCAUCUGCAUUUGCAUCAGGUUCCGAACAUAUUAGGCCUUUUACAUUCCUGUAUUAAAAACAGAUAAUCUUUAAUCCUGUUAAUAUGGUGUGUGAUUGUGUAUGUCUACAUAUACAUAUAUAGUUAUAUACUUAUAAAUAGAGAAAGACCAUCCAAUUUUUUUGCAGGUCAUUUUGAUGCUAACCUUUCCAUUUGCUUUUGCAGAUCUUUGUAUUUUUCUAAAUCUUCCUGAUGUGCAGACACUUCAUUUUUAAGUUCAAUUUCAAGCGUAUCAAUUUUUGACUGGAGAAAGCUAAUUUCUGUUUCUAGGUCAUUUGAGCGUGAUUCUAGUAAUCGGUAAGAUUCUGCCAUACAUUUCAAUUGAGUCUCGGCCAAGCUAUUAGACUUCUGAGAACCAGUAAAUUGUGAUUCAAGGUCCUGAAGAUUUUGCUCUGUUUCAACCAACCGUAACUUUGUCUUUUCUAAACUUUCAGUACAUUUAGCAAGUUCAUCUGCCAAAUUGUCCUUCUCAAUUUUCAACAGAUCAAACUCCUCCUGCGAAUAAUUUAUUAAUGAUCCCUUCAUUUCAGCAGUUUUGGCAUCAAAAGAACCUAAAAGUCUUCCUUUCCCAAUUUCAUGCCGAUCAACUUUGUCGAUGUAAUCAGGGAUGCUUGACUCUGAU